UACAUUUGUUUUGGCAAUGAAUGUCUUAGCUCAAAUGAUGAUGAAGAAUGCAGCGAAAUGUGAUAUGCAUUGUGAAUUGCAAAAUUCCGUGAACCAAUAGAUGUUUGAACGCUUGUUGUACCUUUGGGAUAUGCUUGAAGGUGUGUUUGAUUCAAUGUCAAUU
rnacentral:rRNA from 1 species